rnacentral:rRNA from 1 species
GAUGAACGCUGGCGGCGUGCCUAAUACAUGCAAGUCGAGCGAACGGACGAGAAGCUUGCUUCUCUGAUGUUAGCGGCGGACGGGUGAGUAACACGUGGAUAACCUACCUAUAAGACUGGGAUAACUUCGGGAAACCGGAGCUAAUACCGGAUAAUAUUUUGAACCGCAUGGUUCAAAAGUGAAAGACGGUCUUGCUGUCACUUAUAGAUGGAUCCGCGCUGCAUUAGCUAGUUGGUAAGGUAACGGCUUACCAAGGCAACGAUGCAUAGCCGACCUGAGAGGGUGAUGGGCCACACUGGGACUGAGACACGGUCCAGACUCCUACGGGAGGCAGCAGUAGGGAAUCUUCCGCAAUGGGCGAAAGCCUGACGGAGCAACGCCGCGUGAGUGAUGAAGGUCUUCGGAUCGUAAAACUCUGUUAUUAGGGAAGAACAUAUGUGUAAGUAACUGUGCACAUCUUGACGGUACCUAAUCAGAAAGCCACGGCUAACUACGUG